rnacentral:lncRNA from 1 species
AUAGAACUCAUUAUCUAGAGGGGUGACAGACCAUCGAUGAAUGAAUCUUGUAAUAGGAGCUAUCACUGACUGCUUACAGUGUCCUUGACACUAUUCUAAGCACUUGAAAUGUAGUAACUAAUUUAAUCCUUCCAGCAAUCCUAAAAGGUAAAGACUAUUAUUGGCUCCAUAGAACAUGAAGAGUUAAUCCCUGUGCCCUUGCCCAGACCUGUAGAUUUGGUGGUGCCUCGUGAGCUGCUAGCACGGGUCUUGGCCUUAGCUACCUUGGGCACGGGGUAAAACGAGUUUAAUGCCCAGCACCUCAGAAAUGAUCCCGCCCAGUGGCUCCAGGAUUUGGGGUUGACCAGGAAGUAGUCCCAGGACUGUGCCACGGUUUUCCCUUUCUUUUUUCAUCCCCUUUCCCUCCCGCCCCCUGGUGCCCCCCCCCCAUUUCCAGGACAGCCCCUCCCUCUGAGCCGCCUCUUCUCUGACUCAUUUCCCCUUCCCCGCCCCAAAGACCUUGGCUUUCUCUCCGUGUCCCUUUCCUCUGGCAGGAAAUAGAGGAAGGGCUAACUGGCUUUGGGAACCAGGCACACCUAGUUGUGCCAUCUUCAUACAAAGCCCACCAAGCACCAUCCUAUAAAGUCACACGCCUGAAUUUGGUAAGUAUCCUUUCCAUGCAUGUAUAUUAAAAAAUAAGUACUUAUACACAUACAGAAUUUUUCACAUAACUGGACUCAUUCAUAUUGUUAUGCAGCUUUUAAAUUUGUUAUUGACUUAA